ACGAGUUCCUGUGCAGGACGAGGAGCGGCGUGGGCCGCCACUCGUGUUUCAGGGGCCGCGAGUCGCUUCUGCGCAGAGAAGUUUGAGAGAAGCAGAUUUGGAUUUCGGACCUGACUCUGGCGUACGUCUCCUCCUCGUCUGCGACGAUCCAGGCGAUGUCAGCCAGGGUCGGAACCGACGGGCCGUCGAGCGGACGGAGCGAGGGCAGACCGGGCAGCUCCUG